GGAGAAGAUUCCAUGGGAAGGAGAGUUCACCGUUAGAAGCGAUCCGUGAGCUGGGUUAAUAGCGUCCAGCGGCAGUUU
rnacentral:rRNA from 1 species